UACGUAGGCAGCAAGCGUUGUUCGGAGUUACUGGGCGUAAAGGGUGCGUAGGCGGCCUAUUAAGUCAGGGGUGAAAGACGGUAGCUUAACUAUCGCAGUGCCUUUGAUACUGAUGGGCUUGAAUGUACUUGAGGUAGGCGGAAUGUGACAAGUAGCGGUGAAAUGCAUAGAUAUGUCACAGAACACCAAUUGCGAAGGCAGCUUACUAAAGUAUGAUUGACGCUGAGGCACGAAAGCGUGGGGAUCAAACAGG
rnacentral:rRNA from 1 species